GACGAACGCUGGCGGCGUGCCUAAUACAUGCAAGUCGAGCGCAGGAAGCCGUCUGAACCCUUCGGGGGGACGACGGUGGAAUGAGCGGCGGACGGGUGAGUAACACGUAAAGAACCUGCCCAUAGGUCUGGGAUAACCACGAGAAAUCGGGGCUAAUACCGGAUGUGUCAUCGGACCGCAUGGUCCGCUGAUGAAAGGCGCUCCGGCGUCGCCCAUGGAUGGCUUUGCGGUGCAUUAGCUAGUUGGUGGGGUAACGGCCAACCAAGGCGACGAUGCAUAGCCGACCUGAGAGGGUGAUCGGCCACACUGGGACUGAGACACGGCCCAGACUCCUACGGGAGGCAGCAGUAGGGAAUCUUCCACAAUGGACGAAAGUCUGAUGGAGCAACGCCGCGUGAACGAUGAAGGCUUACGGGUCGUAAAGUUCUGUUGUAAGGGAAGAACAAGUGCCGCAGGCAAUGGCGGCACCUUGACGGUACCUUGCGAGAAGGCCACGGCUAACUACGUGCCAGCCGCCGCCGUAAAAC
rnacentral:rRNA from 1 species